UACGUAGGGUGCGAGCGUUGUCCGGAAUUAUUGGGCGUAAAGAGCUCGUAGGCGGUGUGUCGCGUCGGCCGUGAAACCUGCAGCUUAACUGUGGGCUUGCGGUCGAUACGGGCAUCACUGGAGUUCGGCAGGGGAGACUGGAAUUCCUGGUGGUAGCGGUGAAAUGCGCAGAUAAUCAGGAGGAACACCGGUGGCGAAGGCGGGUCUCUGGGCCGAUACUGACGCUGAGGAGCGAAAGCCAGGGAGCAAACGGG
rnacentral:rRNA from 1 species